rnacentral:misc_RNA from 1 species
UGAUUUCACGCUUGUGGUUGGUAUAUUCCGCUCGCGCCGGUACAUGGGCUUCUGUCAAGUAGUUCGCAGUUGAGAGACACAACGUAAUGAUUUCUACGUGCGAAGCCUAGUACGGAAUAGUAAAUACAGUGACGGUGUACCACUAAGAUCCGGAGGGUCUGCGCGAGCGAGACACUUUGUUUGAAUGACGUAAUUGUAUUGAUCGCGGAAGAAGAGCCGAAAGUCGCGCAAUCGCCAUCUUGGACGAAUUGUGGGAAAAGAAGUUUGUGCUUCGUGGGCGAUAUAAUAAUUACUGAACUGUAUCCGCGGCAAUCCGCCAGUUAGUUAGUUUUAAAGGGAUUCAUAUCCGUUUGUGAACUGUUUACCCAUUUGGACGGACCAAGACAAAGGGUUCGUUCGUUGGGUCUGAGUGGUACUAAAUGGUUGCCUGCAGACAGCAUGUCUACUCUGUCGGGGAAUGUGUCGAAGGGGGAGAAAGGAAAAUCCAAGUUUCAAUCGUUAGACAUCAAUAAUUUAUACAGGACAAGUAGGGGAGAAUCCUUGGAGCAACAUCAACAGAAAAACACAAUACCACGGAAACAUGGAAUGCAGAGUUUGGGAAAGGUGCCUUCGGCACGGCGGCCACCUGCUAACUUGCCCAGUCUGAAAAGUGAGCACAGCGGCAGCGACCCAGCAGUUAGUCUUGUACCAAGCGGUGGCAGCGGUUGGGCCACUACUAAAGAUCCUGCCACACAAACUACCAACACCACUAGCAACGCCACUACUACACCACCUACAACCUCCGAUACUACCACCAGCAACACACCCUCGCCACAAUGUGCAACGGGAGCUGUUCCUGCAACGGCAUCACCACUGCAACCACCACAACCAGGACAACAGAAUACUUCACAGACAUCACACUCCACUGCGCCCUCAUGGAGCGCAAUUAUGAGCAGACCAGGAGAUGCCGGUGGGCCCGUCGUGGCAGCAGUGGUUGGUUACGCGGGGCUUGUGGGGGGCGGGAGAGGGGGAAGAGGUGCCCUUGGACUGAGCUUUCUCGCCCACCAGUCCCCGCAGUUCCAACACGAGUUCCCCAGCCUCAGUGGCCAGACCUCCGUCUCCAUCUCCAAUCAGAGUCAGACUCAACCGUCCUCGACAACGCCGAACGCAAAUUCCAAUGCGAUAUCGGUAGCUGCUCAACAACAGUCGUUGCUGCCGCAGCAGUCCCAAUCCCACAGCCACUCAGGCGAUGGCACAGCCGGGUCACAGCAGGCACAGUCUCAACAGACCAGGGAAUUGACUGCACAAUAUGGUCCAGGACCCAGUCUACGCCCACAAACGGAAGGCAGUUGGAUUCAAGGUGGAAGUCGUACAGCAAGCGGAACUGGAGCAGGAACACCUGGGCCAGGAAAUGGGAAUACUCCGGGGGCCCAGGGCCCCCCGCAUAUUGGCGUAGGUGGACUACCAGAGGGACCCGCUGGCGGGCGACCCAACUUGGGCCAGUCGCUACCCAUGGGCAUGGCCCAGGCAGGCCCUAAUGGUUCCCCAGCUGCCCAAGCGGUUACAACCCCUGGCGCCAGUCAAAAUCCUAGCCUGCAUAACUAUCGAGGAUUAAUUCCUCCUUUCAUGUACCGAGGCAGCUUUCCUGGAGGAUUUCCUUCACAAUUCCCACCAAAUAUGGGUGCGAAUGGCCCUCGACAACGAUUCACCCAUCCCCAGGAACGAUUCCCAGCUCCCCCGCGCCAGCAAGAACGUGAACGUCCUCCUCCCCCAGCAGAUGAAGAAAUAAUCACCCGUCCAAUAAUUAAAGAGGAAGAUUUGUCAAGAAUGGACGACAUUUCACGCGAUGCUGGGUGGGCAGCCCAUGACGAUAUCGAUUACAACCAAAAGUUAGCUUUCAGCGAUGACGAAACAGAACAUGAACACCAUAAAAAAGAUGAAAAAAAAGACUUCAAAGAUGACAAACGCGAGGAAAGUCAACCCGAGGAAAAAGAGAAGUCAAGAGAACGUGAACGGGAGCCUAGGGAUAAUCGUGAACAGUCCCAGUCUCAUCGUGGAUGGAAUCAAGGACCUCCACCGUUAUCUCGUGAUUUCCGUGGUACAAAUGGUCCUGUCAAUCAUCCUCCGCAACAGCAAAUGCGAACUCCACAUCCACCUCGGGGUCUCGAGGAAGACGAAUUAUGGAAUCAGAGACGCAGAGAACAAGGAGAAUGGGUGGCCUCGACUGUGGAGCGGGCCCGCCAGCGUAAAGAAGAAGAAGAAAAAAGAUUCCGAGAGUCCAUUAAACAAGCUGCAGAUAAAAAACUACAGGACUUGGAGCAAAAAAUUAAGGAAAAAUACGUCAAACAAAAAGAUGACGAUUCAGGAUCUUCAUCCGAACCGAAAUCUUUAAUCAGUGUACCUUCGUCUAUUAUUCCAGUACCCGACUGGGAGCGAGACAGGGAAAAUCGAGAAAGUCGCGAAAGAGACAGAUCUCGUACUUCAUCCGAGGGCAAAGAUGAAAAGCCUGUGAGCCGAGACUCUCGCGAUAGUCGUGAUACUCGGGAUAUUCGCGACACACGAGAAACUCGUGAUACAAGAGAUACUCGAGAAACUCGUGAUACGAGGGAUACGAGGGAUACGAGGGAUGUCCGGGAUACCCGAGACGCUCGUGAUACUCGAGAUGUUCGAGAUGUACGUGAUACUCGAGAUUCUCGGGAUUCUCGAGACCAGCCAGUCUCAGAAUUUCGACAAAUUACUCAAAUUGAGCGUCCGAACUUCAUGCGGUCUCAAGACAUGUCGCGUAACGAGCGGGAACGCGAUCGCGACCAACGAGAGAUUAGAGAAAGGGAGCAACCGGCAUUUUCUAAGCACUUUCAGAACGACUUACCCCCAAGGUUCCAGAAACAACAGGCUGAGAGAACUGGUGGAGCCUAUAACAGGGUAUCACCGAAUGCAGAGCAGCGGCCCGCUCCUCAAGCAAUACCUUUCUCUCAACAAUAUGACCCUAGCAGAUGGGUGCACAGCAGUCACCCUAACGUGCCGAACAGUGUCAAGAAGCAAUCUCAUUCCAUGCCACUGCCCCAACGUAGAAAUCGAACUGAUUCAGAAUUGUCUGGUCCAAUCGAGGACGAUAGACCUCCUUCAAGAGAUCAUCGAGGACUACCGAGAGAUGAUCGUUACCGACAUUCGUCCCACAGAUCGUACGAUGGUCGCAAACCAUCUAGCGGUAGUUAUUAUGAUGAUCAUGCACGCUAUAGAGAAUACGAAUAUGAUGAUAGACAUUCUCGUGAUUCUUGGGAACGUGAAAGGCAUUACGAUGAUAGAGACAGAGAUAAUCGAGAAAGAGAAAAGAAAGAUUACGACAAUUAUUCCAAGAGUUCGCCACAACAAGAUCCGUUUGACGAACGUGAACCCACUCGGGAGCGCCCAGAGAAUCCCGAGUGGCGAGAUGAUAGACGGGACAUGCGCGAUGAUCGGAUAACCCAAGAAAGGCAAACUGAUAGUCGUCGUGAUCCACCCAGAGAUGAUCGUAUUGAUCGUAGUGAGCGUCCUCAAAGACCGGAUUCUCGUGACAGUCGCGCAUCUCGAGAAUCGAGAACUUCUCUUCGCGACGACGACAUGCAUAAGUCACGAGAUUGCGGAUCCUGGGUGAAUGAUAUACCAGAUUAUGAAGAAAAGAAACGAGAUCCUUACCGUGAAGAUAACAGAGAUCGCCGGCAACCGCCUGGACCUGUAACCAGGGAAAAACUGGAAGCUGACGAGCUUAAAGGUGAAAAACGUAAUUUGACGCAGCUGAAGCGUUCUGGAUCUGAGCUGGAUAAAAAAGACAGCAGCAAAGAUAGCCCUACCGAGGCUAAGAAGGAACUCGACAUGUGGAAUAGGAAAUUGGAACUGAGCUCAGAAAACAGUAGAAACGUGGAAAGAGGAGGUGAUAACUCGCCGAAAGCGUGGGCUGAUGCAAUAUCUCCAACUUUGGAGAUGGAAGAUGAGAAGGUUUUUCUUGAACCUAUGAAGGAUGAAAAAGAGAUUGAUGAAAUGAAACAAAGUAUGGAAAAACUAAGUGUCGACAACAAACGGGACGAUGCCCUAUGCAUCGAAGUUAAAGAAGAUUUGAAAGAUGAGAAGCGGGAUAAAAAUGUGAGAAAUAGAACCAAUAGCGGAAGUUCAAGAGGUCGAGAAUCUGGUCGUAGUGCUAGGCAGUAUGGAGGUUAUAGCGUGUACACUACUCGUGGGUGGCGUGGCGCGGAUCAGAGAGGGAGAAGAGGAGGACCAAGGUCCCUGGGCAGACCUGGUUCUGCAAGAAGUGGUUCUUAUGGUCACACAGAUUCCGAACUUAGCGGAGACGAAAUCUCCGGAUCCACUGAAUCUGGAAAGGAAGAGAGGCGUCCAGCUCGCUCUCCCAAGUCUUCUCAAAAAUUGGACAAAGACGAUCGCAAUCGGGAAGUAUCCAGGCGCGAUGAUAAACGCGGUGAUUAUACUCAAGUUCGCAGUGACAAAAGAAGCUAUGACAGUAGAUCUGGUCGUGAAGGGUUUGCACCAUCCGGGGAACCUUCAAGACGGGGUCGAGGGGGGUUUCGGAACCGUGGUCCUACUACAGGCGGACGAAUGAAUACUAAUUAUGGUCCACCACCGAGUAAAAGCCCUUUUUCAACUGAACGGAAUGCAGAUGACAAAGAACCUAACCAACAGAAGCCCUCAUCACCUACGCCAGAAAGUGAAUUACCAGCUAGUGGUCCUCAGUUGUCUGAGUCCACUGAUGACAAGAUCAUAGCCAAACAGCAAGCGCUGACUGCUGGUAUUACUGGAAGACAUACUAAAUCCCCAAGUCAGCAAAGUCAGCAGCAAGGUAAUAAUAAGCAAGAUUCACUUCAGAAUCAGAACACAGUGCCACAGAGGUCACAAGUCAGAAAAGAUGAAGGGAGGACUAAGAGAAAUCACAGCAGCAGUAGACGAACACAAGGGAGAGAACAUCGUGACGGACGUUUCCGUGGCAACCCCAGCAAUGCACCGAAGCAAAAUUCAUCAGAUAUUGGUAACGACGACUGGGAAACAACUUCAGACAACAGCGAAGAACACAUUGAAGAUCGGAAAGAAUCUCGAAACACACGUAAUAAAUCAUAUGGAAGUCGAGGAAAUCAAAGCUCUCACCAGAAUCCGACCGGCAACAACCAACAAUCUCGAAGAAAUGAUCAAUCAAUAAACAACAGGGAACAAAGAGAACGAAAUGUAACCAAACCCAGCAGUACGGCAUCUCGUGCUCCUGGAGCUGAGAAAAGGAAUGCGCAGAACGCUUCUUACAAUCAACGGAACCACUCUGGAGCCAUCCCGCCGUUGAUGCAAAAUACUCAACAAAAUGGCCGCCCCAGAAGUCAAGGAUCAGCAAAUAGCGGGCCUUCCAAUAAAGCCAUAAUAAAAGAAAGCACGGUUAAUCGUGUUGAUGAAAUAAAGUUAAAUGAUUUAAAUCUGGUAAAUCAAGCUUUGAAUGAUAUAAAUAAAAAAUCUGUCUCAAAAGAGAAGAAAGUUAUCGACAGUGAGUUGGAAGUAAACAAUUAUUCUGGUGGUGGAGACGAUGGGGCGAACAGUAACGAAGAUAAAAUAGAUGCGGAUGGCUUUCAAGAGGUUAGGUCCAAGAAGAAUGUAAAGGAGUCUAGGCAUAAUCAGAAAGAAGAAGCCAAACCCAUGAGACGUGAAAAAGAAAAGGAAAGAGAACGAGAUCGUUCAAAAUCAAAGUCUAACGGACCUCAGCCCACCCCACAGCAGAUUCAAAAUAUUCCACCAUUGUUGGGACAACCAAUUCCUCAGCCUGCCAACUUGCCACAGAAACAAUUUGACAGAGAAAGAAAUUCUAAUCGGCAAACAUUGGCCCCUCGAUUCCAGAAAGCACGUUUAGCUAAACAGCAACAACAGAUGGGAAUCGGCGAAAGUAACGACACAAAUAAAGUGAAUUCUAAUAAUAUCUAUGUUUCAAAAGACUCAGCUGCUGGGCCAGCUCCACCACCAUCAGUCAAUGCUUGGGAUAAACCAUUUACCAGUCAAAUAAGAUCCAAUUCACCAUCAACAGUUCCUGCAGACAUUCAACUUAUGUCUGGAAUAACUGGUCAAAAUGAACAUAAUCAUGAGACCAAUGAACAGGUCAAUUCUAGAGGUAGUAGUCAACGGAAUUCACCAAACACAGAAAAAACUGUUAAUAAAACAGCGAAGGAUAUUAUUGUUGAAAAAAAUGUUUCGGACGGAACUUCACCCCCUGUCCAAACGUUGAUUUUCGAAAAUACAAACUAUUCUAAAACCACAAAAUCUGGACCAUCGGAUCUGACGUUGAAAUCAAAGUUUUCAAACCAUAUGAAAACUCAACAGCGAGUAGAUAAACGCGGCGAAAUCGAAGAUGAUGGUCAGCUGCAACAGCAUCAGCAACAAGCUCUGUCUGCUGUCUUUUCCAACAAAUCUAACGAACUUAUGAAAGAUAAAUCGCAAGAACCAAUUCAGAUGCCAUUGACUUUUAGCAAAAACGAGGACAAUGCUGAUAUGAAAUUGGACUUUACAUUUGAUUCUGAACUGUCACAACUGACGGAAGAUGCUAAAAGUAAAUCUUUGGGAAUGCCACGAUCGAUUCACAUGACCGGGGGUCAAAGUACUAUUUCUCCUUCGACAGCAGAACUUAAUCUAAAAAUUGCAUCUGUGAAGAAAGUAUGGGAAAAUGCACCCCCAAUGCCAACAGUGGUCGAACAUGAAGAUGGAAGCGUUGUUGCCACUGCAAAUAGUUUCCCUCAACCCUUUGAGAGCAAUGAUGUCGACGACAGCUACAGUCCUCACCAGCAAUACAACCAGAGCAAUAUGAAAAACGAAAUAGCAACUUCGACAAAUGUAUGCAAGCUGGUUCCCCCGCAGGUGAAGCCGCAGCAACAGUCCUCUGGAAGUACUGGCGCCCAACCUGGAUCUACAGUUCCUGGCCCAAGUCCAAUCCGGCCUGGUCAAAGUCCCAUUGGUCAUCCUUCGGCCAGUUUACAGGGUCAGCUAAGCCCCCCUCCAUUUAACACAACUGGACAACCAUCCCACAUUAACUAUCCAGAGUUUCCUCAAUAUCCGGGCUCCCAAGCUGCACAAUAUGGAGGAAUGUCUGCUAUACCUUCACCACCAGCAGUCUUAUUCAACACUGGAUCAGGUCAAUUACCAGCGCAGGCUGGUGGGUUAUAUGGAGCAUUCCAGCUAGAUCAAAGUCGAUCUCCUUUUACUCAAUAUGCUCCUUAUGGACAAUCGCUUCAGAGCUCGUUUAAUCAACAGAGUGUCUACUUGCAACAACCUCCACCGCCUCCGCAUGCACCUAGUGCAACUCCUGACAUGUAUCAGAAUAACAUGUCACAGUACAGAAUCACAACUGCGGCAGCACCGCCUUUUGGUCAAAAUCAACAACUGAGCAAUAACCCAAAUACAGUGUUGAUCAGCUCAUCGUCAAACUCUCUUAUGUCCGCCAGUGUAAAACCGUCUACCCAACCAAUUGGUGCCAUUGGGACCAAAGCACCACAUUUUCAAGCUCCAUCAGCACAGCCGAAUCAGAUGUAUUUCCUGGUUCACAAACAGGCUUCUACCAACCGGGUGGUGCGGGACAACAAACUGGGACUCAUUACGGGCUGCAGGGGUUUGGCCAACAUAGUCAGAGUCUUGCAACUGGUAGUGCCACGCCGGUUGGUCUUCAGAAUUUCGGAUCUCAGUUCCUUUCUGGAUCUGGAAUACAAAUGGCUGCUGCAGCUGCUGCUCAGCAGUAUAGAAACCCUACUGGAGGUUUGCCAGGACCUGGUAAUGCUGCUGCUACAUUUCUUGGAAAACACCAGCAACAAGAACAGUCUAGACAAUUGAAGAGCCCGUCGGGUAAUCAACAAGAUGUUUUGGCCUCCGUUUUCAGCUCUACUUCUCAAAUUCCUUCGCCAAAAUCGCGGAAUUGCAAGCAACAAACACCGACUCAACAACCGCAACCAAGUCCAACUCAAAUUCAUAAGUAUCAGCAAUAUCAGGGCGCCACUCAGUCUGCUCUG